rnacentral:rRNA from 1 species
UUAAGCUAAGAAGGGUGCAUGGUGGAUGCCUAGGUGUCCAGAGCCGAUGAAGGUCGUGGCAUAGCUGCGAUAAGCCCCGGGUAGCCGUCAAGCAGGCUUUGAUCCGGGGAUUACCGAGAUCGGGAAACCGGGCGGGAUUUAUCUCCCGCCAGUCAAUGUACUGGGAACGCAGGGAACUGAAACAUCUAAGUACCUGCAGGAAAGGAAAGAAACCUCGACUCCCCUAGUAGCGGCGAGCGAACGGGGAAGAGCCUAAACCGGAGUGGUGCCAAGGGUACGACUAUUGCCUCUCCGGGGUUGUAGGACUCACAGCCUGAUCGUAAUAAGGCAAGAGAGUUACAAAGUUCAUUGUUAGAAGAACGGCGUGGGAAAGCCGACCGAAGAGGGUGACAGUCCCGUAUUCGAAAGCAAUGAGCCUCUCGUGAUGUUCCUGAGUAGCGCCAGACACGAGAAACCUGGUGUGAAUCUGCGGGGACCACCCCGUAAGGCUAAGUACUACUGGACGACCGAUAGCGUAAUAGUAGCGCGAGCGAAAGGUGAAAAGUACCCCGUUUAGGGGAGUGAAAUAGUACCUGAAACCAUGUACCUACAAGCUGUCGAAGGCCUAUGGCCCUUAGGGGCAACGGCUGACGGCGUGCCUUUUGCAUAAUGAUCCGGCGAGUUACGCUGUGUGGCAAGGUUAAGGGCUUCAGGCCCGCAGCCGAAGGGAAACCGAGUGUGAAUAGCGCGAAUUGAGUCAUGCGGCGUAGACCCGAAAGCGAGUGAUCUAUCCAUGGGCAGAGUGAAGCGGCUGUAACAGGCCGUGGAGGCUCGAACGGGUAUAGGUUGAAAACUGUUCCGAUGACCUGUGGAUAGGAGUGAAAGGCUAAUCAAACUCGCAAAUAGCUGGUUCUCCCCGAAAUAGCUUUUGGGCUAGCCUCAAGUGAUAGUGCACGGGGGUAGAGAUACUGAUUGGGAUUGGGGUCCUUUGGGAUACCCAACUCAGCCAAACUCCGAAUACCGUGUACCGUAUCUUGGGAGUCAGUCUAUGGGCGAUAAGGUCCGUGGACGAGAGGGAAACAACCCAGACCGCCAGCUAAGGUCCCAAAUGUGUACUAAGUGUAGUGAAGGAAGUGAAUUUUCAAAGACAGCCAGGAUGUUGGCUUAGAAGCAGCCAUCAUUUAAAGAGUGCGUAACAGCUCACUGGUCGAGAGAAUUUGCGCCGAGAAUGAACGGGACUCAAGUACACAACCGAAGCUGCGGCUUGCAUAGAUUCGUUGAAUCUUUGCAGGGGUAGGGGAGCGUUCCAAGCGAGUGAAGGGUGACGGUAACGACACCUGGACGCUCUGGAAGCGAUUAUGCCGGAAUGAGUAGCGAUAAAGCAGGUGAGAAUCCUGCUCGCCGAAAACCCAAGGUUUCCUGGGCACGGUAAAUCCGCCCAGGGUUAGUCGGUACCUAAGGCGAGGCCGAAAGGCGUAGUCGAUGGACAACAGGUUAAUAUUCCUGUACUUCUAAUUUGAUGUUUGAUCCAGGGGUGACGCGGAAGGAAAGGUGAGCGCACUGACCCAUUGUGCGUUUAAGCCCGAGGGUGGCACGGAGAGAUACGUGCGGAAUCCUGGAGGUGAAUACGAGGCCAUCUGGCCGAAGUCAUUGGACUGACCGCCGAGAAAUAGCCCCUAAGGGUAGUUGAAUUUGAAUCCGUACCUAAACUGACACAGGAGGGUGAGGUUAGUAACCUAAGGCGCUCGAGAGAACUGUUGUUAAGGAACUCGGCAAAAUGACCCCGUAACUUCGGGAUAAGGGGAGCCCCUCAGUGUGUAGGCCUUUACGGUUGAAGCACCAGGGGGCCGCAGAGAAUCGAUGCAAACGACUGUUUACUAAAAACACAGGUCUGUGCUAACUCUUAAAGAGGAUGUAUACAGACUGACGCCUGCCCAAUGCCGGAAGGUCAAAGGGAGUGGUUAGCGUAAGCGAAGCUACGAACUGAAGCCCCGGUGAAUGGCGGCCGUAACUAUGACGGUCCUAAGGUAGCGAAGUUCCUUGUCGGGUAAGUUCCGACCCGCACGAAAGGCGUAGCUCGGCGAAAUUGUAGUCGUGGUGAAGAUGCCACGUUCCCGCAUCAAGACGGAAAGACCCCGUGAACCUUUACUAUAGCCUGGUAUUGGCAUUUGUUAUAACGUGCGUAGCAUAGGUGGGAGACGUUGAAGCGGCCCUUUCGGGGGUUGUGGAGUCACAAUAUGAAAUACCACUCUCGUUAUAUUAGAUCUCUAACGCGUCAUUUGUAGUGGCGCGGACAGUGCCUGGUGGGUAGUUUGGCUGGGGCGGUCUCCUCCUAAAGAGUAACGGAGGAGCGCGAUGGUGCACUCAGCGCGGUUAGCAAUCGCGCGUAGA